GUGCCAGCCGCCGCGGUAACACCAGCCCCUCGAGUGGUGGGGACGUUUAUUUGGCCUAAAGCGUCCGUAGCCGGCCGGGUAAGUCUCCCGUUAAAUCCAGCGUCUCAAGCGUUGGGCUGCGGGAGAUACUGUCCGGCUAGAGAGUGGGAGAGGUCAGCGGUAUUCCUGGGGUAGGGGCGAAAUCCUUUGAUCCCAGGAGGACCACCAGUGGCGAAGGCUGCUGACUAGAACACGUCUGACGGUCAGGGACGAAAGCUGGGGUAGCGAACCGGAUUAGAUACCCGGGUAGUCCCAGCCGUAAACGAUGCGGGCUAGGUGUUGGAGUGGCUACGUGCCACUUCAGUGCCGCAGGGAAGCCGUUAAGCAUGCCGCCUGGGGAGUACGGUCGCAAGACUGAAACUUAAAUGAAUUGACGGGG
rnacentral:rRNA from 1 species